AAUAUCUUGUCUUAUGAUUUUAACCAUAUAUAUUGUUUUUAUUGAAACAAGAUGAGGCAAGAGGGUGAAAUAAAUUCCUUAAACUGUUUUUUUUUUUUUUUUUUUUUAAACUAGUUGAUUUAUAAGUUCACCCGUUCCUCUUUCUAAGAUAUUUUCUAUGACAAAUGGUUCACAGGAUCAAACGGAUACAUGAUUUAAAUUUAAUGGAUUCAAAGAUUGUAAUAGUCGUAGGGGCUUAGAACUUAAUAUCUACACUUUUUAUUUUGGAUUUUAUACACAUAUUUAUAUAGUAGUAGAGGCAAGAUUUUUAGCAAGGGAAUUUAUUAUACUAUACGUACAAAAAAAAAUCUUGAUACAAGGUGAGAUUUUCUGACGAAGGAUGUUCAAGACCUCGCUCCUAACACUAUAGAUCCACCAGCUAUAAGUUUUCAAACUUAUUAUAGCUGAAGAAUGUUUGAAUUUUUUUUAUUUUUGCAAUAUAUUUUCUUCAUAAAUCUUUAGUCCAUAUCUUUUUUGUUUUAUUUUCCUCUUAUUCAAAGUUUUAGAGUCAGAAAAGAAAAUACUGUACUACCUAGUCUUUUGGGACAUUUUCCCCAUGUUGCGGGGGAGAUGUGUGGGGGUUACUUCAGUGUUGAUUUCAACGAGGUUAUAAUAUAUUUAUUCCUUUUUCUCUUCUUCCUGUAAUUAAUUGUUCUGAACUUGGUCGUACUUUUAGAUGCAUUGAAAUAUACAUAGUUGAUGAUUCUCUUUGGGACCUUUGGCAAAUGAUGCCUUCAGAUUUUAUCAUAUGGUGCUGGUCCAUGUACAGUUCCAGUUACUUGUGCAGGCAGAGAAAUUGGCAUUAUGUACGUAGAAUCGGAACAAAGUAUGAAUCAUUGGUUAUCACAUAACAAUUUCAAGAUAGACUGAGAGGCAGAUUCAAAAUUUUAAGUUAAUAAUUUUUUGAUUUUAGGACACAACUGGGUUUAAGAUAGAUAAUUUGUACAUAUUAAGUGAAUUGCUUAAUAUAAACACGUCCUUUAAACCAAAAUUACUAUGUUCUACGAAGCCAUACCUUGUGAUGUAGAUCCUCAUCUGAAGAUAAAUAUUCACAAGGUAUGUAUAAUCACGUCAGCUAUGUUAUAGAGAGCCAAUGCAGCAAUCAAAUAUCUCAGACAUUGUCAUGCAAAA